AACAAAAGCAAAGAGCUCUUAACAUUGUAUGCACAGAGCAUACAAACAAGAAACAUAAAAUAGUUCUAAGUAAACAUGAGAAAACAAACAACUUCAGUCGUAAGCCAUAGCUUGAUCAUUUGUUGGAUAGUAAAAUAAAUAUCAGACCAAUAUGAACCAGUUAUAGUCCACUGAUAGAGACAGUAACUGUACUACUAUGAGACCAGAGCCUGUACUAGAAGAUGAGUGAAAACAAGAAACAAAAACACAAAGCUUAAAUAUAGUUCUUGUAUAGAUAAAAUAUUUCCAAUGAGCUAAAGGGCAUACCUCAACCAGAAGAUAUAAUGAGUCAAUUUCGUAACAGUACCAAGUCCUUAAAAUAGUUCAAGAACUUCAAAUAGUACCAAUUUUUAUCAAUAAAAUCUGAGAUGAUCAUGACCAGUAUUUAUAACAAACAUUGUAAGCUCCAAGUUUUUAUAUUUCCACUAGAGAUCAAUUUUGGUAAAUGUCAAUAGUCAAUGUGCAUAUAUGUAAUAUAUUACCAGGAGAGGUAUGAGUAAAUAGAAGUACAAAAAAGAGGCAUUAUACAACACCUACUAGCCGAGUACUGUAAUGAUUCUUCUUGACGGCUAACAUGGCUUUAAAAAAAGCUUGAGCUUUACAUUUACCAUCCAAAAUAUUUU
rnacentral:misc_RNA from 1 species